rnacentral:rRNA from 1 species
CUUGCAGGGUACUCGAGUGGCGAACGGGUGAGUAACACGUGGGUGAUCUGCCCUGCACUUCGGGAUAAGCUUGGGAAACUGGGUCUAAUACCGGAUAGGAACCAUCUUUAGUGUGGUGGUUGGAAAGUUUUUUCGGUGUAGGAUGAGCUCGCGGCCUAUCAGCUUGUUGGUGGGGUAAUGGCCUACCAAGGCGGCGACGGGUAGCCGGCCUGAGAGGGUGUACGGCCACAUUGGGACUGAGAUACGGCCCGG